AGCGAACGCUGGCGGCAGGCUUAACACAUGCAAGUCGAGCGCCGUAGCAAUACGGAGCGGCAGACGGGUGAGUAACACGUGGGAACGUACCUUUUGGUUCGGAACAACACAGGGAAACUUGUGCUAAUACCGGAUAAGCCCUUACGGGGAAAGAUUUAUCGCCGAAAGAUCGGCCCGCGUCUGAUUAGCUAGUUGGUGAGGUAACGGCUCACCAAGGCGACGAUCAGUAGCUGGUCUGAGAGGAUGAUCAGCCACACUGGGACUGAGGCACGGUCCAGACUCCUACGGGAGGCAGCAGUGGGGAAUAUUGGACAAUGGGCGCAAGCCUGAUCCAGCCAUGCCGCGUGAGUGAUGAAGGCCCUAGGGUUGUAAAGCUCUUUUGUGCGGGAAGAUAAUGACGGUACCGCAAGAAUAAGCCCCGGCUAACUUCGUGCCAGCCGCCGCCGUAAAAC
rnacentral:rRNA from 1 species